rnacentral:rRNA from 1 species
GUGCCAGCAGCCGCGGUAAUACGGGGGGGGCGAGCGUUGUUCGGAAUUACUGGGCGUAAAGGGCUCGUAGGCGGCCUUCUAAGUCAGACGUGAAAUCCCUCGGCUCAACCGGGGAACUGCGUCUGAUACUGGGAGGCUUGAAUCCGGGAGAGGGACGUGGAAUUCCAGGUGUAGCGGUGAAAUGCGUAGAUAUCUGGAGGAACACCGGUGGCGAAGGCGGCGUCCUGGACCGGUAUUGACGCUGAGGAGCGAAAGCCAGGGGAGCAAACGGGAUUAGAAACCCUCGUAGUCC